CACCGCCGCACCCUUUCUUCUCUUAUUCAUCCACAUCCUUGCCCCAAAGAUGGCAUCUCUUUUUCGGUGCAAAUGUUUGGAGUUAUUCACCGAUCUCACAUCACAAACGGGUCUGGCUAAUCAUUUAGGAGCAGACUAUAGCAUGUUGAUUGCUCAUAGCGUUUCAAGGGAGCAAUUGAGAAAGGCUGGUUUAUCUCAAACGUCUCGAUGAAACCCGCGAUUGGUGGUGUGUGAGGUAAAGGCACACCUAUUAUUGUUUCCUAGUUUGAUAACCGCAUAGUUGUUCUAUACAGGGUUGCCUACUUAAUAAAAAAAGUAAACCCUAUGUUUGGACCCCCAAA